rnacentral:rRNA from 1 species
CCUACGGGUGGCAGCAGUGAGGAAUAUUGGUCAAUGGCCGGAAGGCUGAACCAGCCAAGCCGCGUGAGGGAUUAAGGCGCAGAGCGUCGCAGACCUCUUUUGCCGGGGAACAAGAUGCUGCACUUGUCCGGUCCUGAGGGGUACCUGAGAAAAAGCAUUCGCUAACCCCGUGCCAGCAGGCGCGGUAAUUCGGAGGAUGCGGACGUUUUUCGGAUUCAUUGGGGUUAAAGGGUGCGUAGGCGGGACUUUAAGGCGGCGGUAAAAUCGCGGGGCUCAACCCCGCAGAGCCGUCGGAACUGGGGGUCUUGAGUGCGCGAGAGGCAUGCGGAAUGCGCGGUGUAGCGGUGAAAUGCAUAGAUAUCGCGCAGAACCCCGAUUGCGAAGGCAGCGUGCCGUGCCGCAACUGACGCUGAGGCACGAAAGCGCGGGGAUCGAACAGGAUUAGAUACCCGAGUAGUC